ACUCAGGACGAACGCUGGCGGCGUGCUUAACACAUGCAAGUCGAACGGUGAAGCGGAGCUUGCUCUGCGGAUCAGUGGCGAACGGGUGAGUAACACGUGAGCAACCUACCCUUGACUCUGGGAUAACAGUUGGAAACAGCUGCUAAUACCGGAUAUGACCCUGGUGGACAUCCACUGGGGUGGAAAGCUCCGACGGUCGAAGGAUGGGCUCGCGGCCUAUCAGCUUGUUGGUGAGGUAACGGCUCACCAAGGCGUCGACGGGUAGCCGGCCUGAGAGGGCGACCGGCCACACUGGGACUGAGAUACGGCCCAGACUCCUACGGGAGGCAGCAGUGGGGAAUAUUGCACAAUGGGCGAAAGCCUGAUGCAGCAACGCCGCGUGCGGGAUGACGGCCUUCGGGUUGUAAACCGCUUUCAGCAGGGACGAAGGGUUUCUGACGGUACCUGCAGAAGAAGCACCGGCUAACUACGUGCCAGCCGCUGC
rnacentral:rRNA from 1 species